rnacentral:rRNA from 1 species
UACGAAGGGGGCUAGCGUUGUUCGGAUUUACUGGGCGUAAAGCGCACGUAGGCGGAUUGUUAAGUCAGGGGUGAAAUCCCGGAGCUCAACUCCGGAACUGCCUUUGAUACUGGCAAUCUUGAGACUGGAAGAGGUUAGUGGAAUUCCCAGUGUAGAGGUGAAAUUCGUAGAUAUUGGGAAGAACACCAGUGGCGAAGGCGGCUAACUGGUCCAGUACUGACGCUGAGGUGCGAAAGCGUGGGGGAGCAAACAGG